UACAAGCUCAAGUUCUAAGCCCUUGAGCCAGAAUUCAAGACGCCCCCAUCUGCCCCACUCCAAUUCCCAACUGCCCUCUUUCCACCCGCCCUACAAACUGUUCCAACUGCCCAGCCAGUUCCCAGCCUUCCGAAGACGCCUUGCAGUCUCCCUCUCCUGGGACAAAUGUAAGACGAAUACUCCAAGAAGAACUAAAUGCAGAAAAAUUAUCACUUCAAACACUUAGACCCAAGUACAGUCCUUCCUACCAAAGGGGAAUGGCCAGUCUGAU
rnacentral:lncRNA from 1 species